rnacentral:guide_RNA from 1 species
AUGCAUACAGAGACUACGAUAAAUGUGAUGAUGGUUAA